UCGCUUUGGCAGCACAAGUACUAAAAUUGGAACAAUAAGAGAGGAUUAGUAUGGCCUCUGGACUUGAGGAUGACAAGCAAAUUUGUGAAGCAUUCCAUACUUUU
ensembl:snRNA U6 U6 spliceosomal RNA